UUCCUAGCAAAUUAAGGGGCUUUGUUCGUUCCAGUAUCAUGCUUGAGACUCUUGACAGUUGAUGGGGUUAUGAAAGAUAUCUUUUUAACAUUUUGAGGUCAUGUUUUGUUUUGAUGGGACUCUAUACGUAUCAGUCGUAUUAGAAGUUCUUGCAUACCACUUGGAGCUGUCAAUAUCUUUUUAACAUUUGAAGUAAUUACUAGACGCCAUCCCCACUUGUGAAGGGAAGUUGCAUGUGUCAAAUUAAGUGGAGUUGUCAACUGAUUAGUAGAAUUUGACAUUAUCAGACCACCUUCCGCAACAUCUUGGAGUUGCUUCAUAAUAUAGCAUGUGGACGGAUAAUAUUUUUUGGCCAAAAAUAACACAAAACGUGACAUGAAAAUAAAAACAAUCGCCCUCAUUCUCUGCUGAAGUAACACAUGUCCAUUAGAAUUUACUAACCAAUGGCUCGACUUUAAAACUGCUGCCAGUGUAUUCCAGUACUAUAUAUAUCCCUGGUUUCUCCCCUUCACAUUCGACAUCCUAUCAGCCUAUUAGUGGAAAUGUGUUUUUUUUACAACAGCUUAGGAGAUGCAG
rnacentral:lncRNA from 1 species